AAUGAAUGGAUGGCUUGGUGAGGGCCCAGUUGAAUGAAUGAAUGGAUGGCUUGGUGAGGGCCCAGUUGAAUGAAUGAAUGGAUGGCUUGGUGAGGGCCCAGUUGAAUGAAUGAAUGGAUGGCUUGGUGAGGGCCCAGUUGAAUGAAUGGAUGGCUUGGGGAUGGUCCAGUUGAAUGAAUGAAUGGAUGGCUUGGUGAGGGCCCAGUUGAAUGGAUGGCUUGGUGAGGGCCCACUUGAAUGAAUGAAUGGAUGGCUUGGUGAGGGCCCAGUUGAAUGAAUGAAUGGAUGGCUUGGUGAGGGCCCAGUUGAAUGAAUGAAUGGAUGGCUUGGUGAGGGCCCAGUUGAAUGAAUGAAUGGAUGGCUUGGUGAGGGCCCAGUUGAUCGGGGUAGCCACUCUUUUUUUUUAAAACAUUUUAAAAUAAUUUUUAAAUUUGACCCCCAAUUUCGAUCUUGUCUCAUUGCUGCAACUCCAACGGGCUCGGGAGGUAAAGGUCGAGUCAUUCGUCCUCCGAAACAUUAACUGCCAAACCGCGCCUCUUAACACCCGCCCGCUUAACCUGGAAGCCAGCACCAAUGUAUCGAACGAAACAUCGUCCACGACCGAGGUCGGCGUGCAGGCGCCCGUUCCGCCAGAAGGAGUCGCUAGAGCGCAAUGAGCCAAGUAAAGCCCCCCCCCCAACCCGGACGACGCUGGGCCAAUUGUGCUUUAUGCUCUCAAGGCACUUCCUCACGAUUUAUGCCUACUUAUUUUGUGAUUAUCUUUCAGGUUCCCAUUAGCGCUUGUUGUUGUCUAAUUACUGUUGUCACUGUCAUCGCAGCUUAGUGGGUUAGUGGGGGCGACUGUGAGUUAGUGUGUCGUUACCGUUGUGGUGUGUGAGCGCAGCACAGAGUGCCUCGUUUGUUGCUCAUUCCUCUGCAGCAUGCAACAUGAAAGUCAUGGACCAGCUGUCAGAAUUUGCUGAGGAAGGAAGGUAUAUGUGCGUCAUCUCUUAGAAAAGUUGUGUGUGUAAAUGCUAAUCUGCCUGCUGCUUGCUCUACAACCCCUUGAAAAGGCAUCGGCCCUACCGUGUAAAACACCAGCCCAGUACGAUCCCGUAUGUAAAACGAAUCUUAGCUAUUUCCUUUAUUUCUGUGAAAGCUAUAAAUAGUGACGGUGCCGCCUCCUCACAGCUUGUUGUGUGAGGGGUGGAAUGGCUUGUUGAUGAUGGGGGAUAGUUGUGACAGGGGCUAAGUGAUGGUAUUUCACCAUCCUCCAUUCCCCCACCUCUCAAGGGCACUGUUUUCCAAAUCGCUCACUUUCUUCCCACCCCCAGGCCGAAACAGAAGCAGCUUCUUAUCCCUGUUUUCCCUGUGAUGCUGCCACUGGCCUUUGUGUGUCAUGGUGGAGGCUGAUUCAUGGAGACGAAGGCUGUCUUCUCGUCAUUUUAACUCUGAGGGUGUAUUAUUCUGUUUGUUGUGGGUCAUAUUUAACCUGUUCGGUCCAUCAUGCUGUCGGUCUCCAUAUAUAUAUAUGUGUGUGUGUGUGUGUGUGUGUGUUUGUCCGUAUGUAGGAUCUAGGCGAGUCUAUGAUUGAACCAGUAUCUGGGCAAAGGAGCCUCUUCCGGUUCAAAACAAUACCUUGAACUGUUUUCGGUUGCUUGUGAAUGUUUAUUUAGUCCUUUAUUGGAAGUGCACACCGAGCGUAACGGCAGUAAAUGACGAUCGUUGCAGGCAAGGCGUAUUCAGUGAGUGACAAAUGUAUUUUGACGUGACUGGUUCAGUCUACGAUAUGCUCUUUUCACGAGGGGUAGUACUACGAUGGGAGACCGAGAGGUCUAUGAUUUUAAUUUUGGUCCCACCGACGUCAUGUUAUCUGUGCUGCGUGUAACUGGGCACGUGUAAGCUACGUGAUGCUUCCCGUGAGCAGGUGUGUUUGUCAUUGUGAGAUGAGCUGUGUUUGUCUGUGUGCGGUUGAGGUUAAUUCUGUCUAACACUAGGCUUUAAACAACAAUGAUCCUCUUCCUUCUGCUUGCAUGAGUGAUUCUCUAUAUUGUCUUUAAUAGAUGUGUCAAUGUUCAGACAGCGAGUUUGAGGGAUUGAGUCUAAAGUGAAAGGAGGAGCCUAAUUUUACAGGAGUAGUUUACAGUGGGGGACCGGUUUGGGGGGUUGUUUUUGAAAGAGGUUAAAGGUCAAUAUUUUCCAGCGAGAGAGCCAACCGAACACUCCAUAGUAAGUGUCCCAAAUGUCACCCUAUUCCCUACAUAGGGUUCUGGUCAAAAGUAGUGCACUAUGUUCUGACCAACGCCCAUAGGGCUCUGGUCAGAAGUAGCGCACUAUGUAGGGAAUAGCGUGCAAUUUGGGAUGCAGAACUUGUCCACCCUCCUGACCACCUCGGUGUAAUCUGAUCUGCGUUUCCUGUCUCCUAAACAGCCUUCCUUUACAGUGGUCUGGUCAGUAGCUGCCUGAGAGGAAUUAACAUCGCCUAUCAAUUAGAGGUCGACUGACUAUGAUUUUUCGGUACCGAUUAUUGGAGGACCA